rnacentral:misc_RNA from 1 species
GAAAUGCGAUAAGUAAUGUGAAUUGCAGAAUUCAGUGAAUCAUCGAAUCUUUGAACGCACAUUGCGCCCCCUGGUAUUCCGGGGGGCAUGCCUGUUCGAGCGUCAUUUCACCACUCAAGCCUCGCUUGGUAUUGGGCGACGCGGUCCGCCGCGCGCCUCAAAUCGACCGGCUGGGUCUUUCGUCCCCUCAGCGUUGUGGAAACUAUUCGCUAUAGGGUGCCGCGGGAGGCCACGCCGUAAAACAACCCCAUUUCUAAGGUUGACCUCGGAUCAGGUAGGGAUACCCGCUGAACUUAAGC